CCUACGUGUGGCUGCAGUGGGGGCUCUUGCACAAUGGGGGGAACCCUGAUGCAGCGACGCCGCGUGGGUGAAGGAGCGUUUCGGCGCGUACAGCCCUAUCGGCAGGGAAGAAGGAGGACGGUACCUGACUAAGAAGCCCCGGCUAACUACGUGCCAGUAGCCGCGGUAAUACGUAGGGGGCAAGCGUUAUCCGGAUUUACUGGGUGUAAAGGGGGCGCAGACGGCAGCGCAAGCCAGGAGUGGAAGCCCGGGGCCCAACCCCGGGACUGCUCUUGGAACUGCGCGGCUGGAGUGCAGGAGGGGCAGGCGGAAUUCCGGGGGUAGCGGUGAAAUGCGUAGAGAUUAGGAGGAACACCAGUGGCGAAGGCGGCCUGCUGGGCUUUUACUGACGCUGAGGCUCGAAAGUGUGGGGAGCAAACAGGAGUAGAUACCCCUGUAGUC
rnacentral:rRNA from 1 species